CUUGAACGCUGGCGGCAUGCCUUACACAUGCAAGUCGAACGGCAGCACGGGGGCAACCCUGGUGGUGAGUGGCGAACGGGUGAGUAAUGCAUCGGAACGUGCCCAGUCGUGGGGGAUAACGCAGCGAAAGCUGCGCUAAUACCGCAUACGAUCUAUGGAUGAAAGCGGGGGACCGUAAGGCCUCGCGCGAUUGGAGCGGCCGAUGUCAGAUUAGGUAGUUGGUGGGGUAAAGGCUCACCAAGCCAACGAUCUGUAGCUGGUCUGAGAGGACGACCAGCCACACUGGGACUGAGGCACGGCCCAGACUCCUACGGGAGGCAGCAGUGGGGAAUUUUGGACAAUGGGCGCAAGCCUGAUCCAGCAAUGCCGCGUGCAGGAAGAAGGCCUUCGGGUUGUAAACUGCUUUUGUACGGAACGAAAAGUCUCCGGAUAAUACCUGGGGCUCAUGACGGUACCGUAAGAAUAAGCACCGGCUAACUACGUGCCAGCAGCCGCAGUAACAC
rnacentral:rRNA from 1 species